rnacentral:lncRNA from 1 species
GGUGCAUUUAUUUAGAUAGUUGACUAUUGACUAUCCUUAACAAAAGAUUGAUCAAAUCAAUGUCACAUUUGCAUUCUCAAGGCAACAAGCCUUCCUAUCUACUAAAGCAUAAUAUAUAAAAUAAUAACAAUUUUAAUGAAACCUACAACAUUCAACUCUACAUAAAAGGGGCAAGCAUAGAAGGAUUAAAUGGGAUUUUCCUUGACCAGCAAAAUAAAACAAAAUUUAUAGUCUAUAUUUGAGCACAAAUCACUUUUGGCACCAUAACAAUGCCCCAAUUUUGACUAUCUAAGAAAUGCAGAAGUUACUCUAGCGAUAACACGCCGAUCUUCGCCAAGAGCUCACAUCGAUGAGAAAGUUUGACAACUCAAUGUCGGCUUUUUACCACCUGGAGCUGUAGUAUGUUUCUUCUCCCCACUAUGAAUGUCAAUAUCCUUCAUUCCUUUCUAAAGUGCUAUUUUUUUCUCCUUUUUCGAACUUGGUCUCUAAUCCACAAUUUUGGCUACAAAAGUACAAUGAGUUUGUGAGAAUAGCUGGUAUAUAGUGUUAUAUUGCAGUGGCAGUUGAUUAUGACCUGCAAACCAAAGACAAAACUCAUGACAUGACUAGGUAGAGAGAGAGAGAGAGAAUAACAUAUUUCUCCAAUCGUCACAUUAUAAGUGUCAUUUUAGUUCAUGCGCACUUCGUAAGAAAAUAAUUAGUUGUGUUGAUUUUUAGAUUAAAAUAAUGGUGAAGACUAAAAUACACAUUA